rnacentral:rRNA from 1 species
UACGGUAGGGGGCAAGCGUUGUCCGGAAUCAUUGGGCGUAAAGAGCGUGUAGGCGGUCCGGUCAGUCGGUUGUGAAAGUCAAGGGCUCAACCCUUGAAUGCCGGCCGAUACUGCCGGGCUAGAGUCCGGAAGAGGUGAGUGGAAUUCCUGGUGUAGCGGUGGAAUGCGCAGAUAUCAGGAGGAACACCGGUGGCGAAGGCGGGUCUCUGGGCAGUAACUGACGCUGAGGAGCGAAAGCGUGGGGAGCGAACAGG